CCAUUCCCACAGACCAGCUGGACAUUGGCCUUGGCAAUCACAUCCUUACCAUAAAGACCGAAGGUCUGAAGUCAUGCUCUGGUCUUCAGUGUGACACCCCAGGUGCUUUGUCAGAGUCACCCUGUUGUCACGAGAGCUGGUGUUCUAGGACAAGAAAGGGUCUGAUCUAAGUCCAGGUGCUUUUUAGCUCCACAGGGCACAAGACACACUCUCUCUCUCUACCUCUCCAUUGCUCAGCUCCCCAAUCCUGGUCAUCUGUCUCCAGCCUCCUUGGCCUUGUCUCCCUACUGCUAAGUUAAAUGCUGUUGGGGAUGGGGACCACAUGUCAAGAAGUGCAUGGGCUUUUCAGCUGCAAACUCCCAAGGGCCAAAGACAGAGGCUUUUUAUCUCCAGAGGCUCAAGGACACAGCCGACCUCCCUUUUCUCUUUUUUUUCUUUUUGCAGUAUAGCUACCACUACCCACUCUAGAUGUCAUGGAGAGGCUGAGAUGGCCAUGAGAUGGACAGUAGAUCAGAGGACUCAGAAGUACUCAAAUCUUUCCCAGCCUCCCAGCCCCUCAGAGAAAAAGCAUCUCCAAAAUGAAAAUAGAGGGACAAAGAUAAUGGAAGAACAGAUAACAGGCACAGAAUCUUGGAAGCCAAAAUCUGAUGGGUAAGGGGUCAUGACCAGAUAAAGUUGAAUUCAACAUUGCUGUACUGGGCUGGGUAGUGUCCCCCUAAAAUUCUUGUCCACCUGGAACCUCAAAAUGUGAUCUUAUUUGGAAAUAGGGUUUUGUAGAUGUAAUUAGUUAAGUUAAAAUGAGAUUUUACUGGAUUAGGGAGGGCCCUCAGUCUAAUCAGGCCACAUGAAGAUACAGAGACACAGAAAGAAGCCCAUGCUGGCUGCAGGCAAUAUAGGAGUAGGGUCUUGGGGUUACCCAAACAACUCAUUGGCUCCAGAGAGUGGGGGGCAAGGGAAUGGAAGGUGGGGGGAAAAACCACCUGGCUUAGCCAGUCCAGACUCAUGUUUUCCUUGGCUGGAGCUGGGAUUCCUCUCAAGGUUUCUGCCCCCAGAUAGCAGUGAGGCUGAACUGGGUAGCGGCCGGAUGCUGUAUUUCACUCUGUUCAGGCUGAGAGGAGAGCCAAGGAUCGUC
rnacentral:lncRNA from 1 species